rnacentral:rRNA from 1 species
UACGUAGGCAGCGAGCGUUGUUCGGAGUUACUGGGCGUAAAGGGUGUGUAGGCGGUUGUUUAAGCUUGGUGUGAAAUCUCCCGGCUCAACUGGGAGGGUGCGCCGAAUACUGAAUGACUAGAGUGCGGGAGAGGAGAGUGGAAUUCCUGGUGUAGCGGUGAAAUGCGUAGAUAUCAGGAGGAACACCGGUGGUGUAGACGGCUCUCUGGACCGUAACUGACGCUGAGACACGAAAGCGUGGGGAGCAAACAGG